rnacentral:rRNA from 1 species
UUCCUACGGGAGGCAGCAGUGGGGAAUAUUGCACAAUGGGCGCAAGCCUGAUGCAGCGACGCCGCGUGAGGGACGACGGCCUUCGGGUUGUAAACCUCUUUUAGUAGGGAAGAAGCGAAAGUGACGGUACCUGCAGAAAAAGCACCGGCUAACUACGUGCCAGCAGCCGCGGUAAUACGUAGGGUGCAAGCGUUGUCCGGAAUUAUUGGGCGUAAAGAGCUCGUAGGCGGUUUGUCGCGUCUGCUGUGAAAACUGGAGGCUCAACCUCCAGCCUGCAGUGGGUACGGGCAGACUAGAGUGCGGUAGGGGAGAUUGGAAUUCCUGGUGUAGCGGUGGAAUGCGCAGAUAUCAGGAGGAACACCGAUGGCGAAGGCAGAUCUCUGGGCCGUAACUGACGCUGAGGAGCGAAAGCAUGGGGAGCGAACAGGAUUAGAUACCCUGGUAGUCC